UACGGAGGGUGCGAGCGUUGUCCGGAAUUACUGGGCGUAAAGCGAACGUAGGCGGUGUUCCAUGUCAGAGGUGAAAGCCUGGGGCUCAACUCCAGAAUUGCCUUUGAAACGGGAACGCUUGAGUCCGAGAGAGGAUGGCGGAAUUCCUAGUGUAGAGGUGAAAUUCGUAGAUAUUAGGAAGAACACCGGUGGCGAAGGCGGCCAUCUGGCUCGGUACUGACGCUCAGGUUCGAAAGCGUGGGGAGCAAACAGG
rnacentral:rRNA from 1 species